GUUGACCCAACUCUGAAAAUAUUGAGGGGUUCAGUGGGCAGAGGCCAUGUUCUAGAUCUUUUACCCUAUUUCUGCUUGCCUCCUCCCCAUACUGGAGGCUGGGCUUCCCAUCAGCUUCUCUCCACCCUUACCUCUUCCUUUGUGCAGUUUCUGAAGCGGAAUCCCACUCAUCGAAUUGGGGGUGGCCCAGGAGAUGCUGCUGAUGUGCAGAGGCACCCGUUUUUCCGGCACAUCAAUUGGGAUGACCUCUUGGCCCAUCGUGUAGACCCUCCCUUCAGACCGAGUCUGGUGAGUGUAUGGGGAGUCUUUUUGGCCACAUGGCAUGUGGAGGUCCUGCACUUUGUAUUCCUUUAACCCCCUCAUGGAUCUCCCUGAAGCAAUCAGAAGAGGACGUGAGCCAGUUUGAUGUGCGAUUCACACGGCAGACGCCAGUAGAUAGUCCAGAUGACACAGCCCUCAGUGAGAGUGCCAACCAAGCCUUCCUGGUAAGAGCCUGGGAGUUAUGGGCACCAGAACAAGGAUUGCAGCUAGGGAUUAAAAGUCAGCAUCACCUGGCCUGGCCUCUCCCCACAGGGCUUCACGUAUGUGGCACCUUCUGUACUGGACAGCAUCAAAGAGGG
rnacentral:lncRNA from 1 species